rnacentral:rRNA from 1 species
GACGAACGCUGGCGGCGUGCUUAACACAUGCAAGUCGAACGGAAAGGCCCUGCUUUUGUGGGGUGCUCGAGUGGCGAACGGGUGAGUAACACGUGAGUAACCUGCCCUUGACUUUGGGAUAACUUCAGGAAACUGGGGCUAAUACCGGAUAGGAGCUCCUGCUGCAUGGUGGGGGUUGGAAAGUUUCGGCGGUUGGGGAUGGACUCGCGGCUUAUCAGCUUGUUGGUGGGGUAGUGGCUUACCAAGGCUUUGACGGGUGGCCGGCCUGAGAGGGUGACCGGCCACAUUGGGACUGAGAUACGGCCCAGACUCCUACGGGAGGCAGCAGUGGGGAAUAUUGCACAAUGGGCGGGAGCCUGAUGCAGCAACGCCGCGUGCGGGAUGACGGCCUUCGGGUUGUAAACCGCUUUCGCCUGUGACGAAGCGUGAGUGACGGUAAUGGGUAAAGAAGCACCGGCUAACUACGUG